rnacentral:rRNA from 1 species
UGAGCAACCUGCCCCUGGCUCUGGGAUAACUCCGGGAAACCGGAGCUAAUACCGGAUACGAGACCGAUUGGCAUCUUUACGGUCUGGAAAGUUUUUCGGCCAGGGAUGGGCUCGCGGCCUAUCAGCUUGUUGGUGGGGUAACGCCCACCAAGGCAACGAUGCGUAGCCGACCUGAGAGGGUGAUCGGCCACAUUGGAACUGAGACACGGUCCAGACUCCUACGGGAGCA